rnacentral:misc_RNA from 1 species
AAUUAAUAGCCCUGAGUACCCAAUAUUUAAAAACCAAAAAAUGUAACUAUAGGUGAGAGAGAGUGGAAAAAAGGCAUGCCCAUUAAUCAACCAGAUCACAACAAAGAUUUGAACAUAAUUUUACAACUACUCAAGAGACCAAAAAAGAGAUGGGUUGGUUUGGCCUAGGGAAUUUAGCACCAUGAGAAAACAGCAAGUGGCAGUGUAAACAAUGCAAAAGACUCCUACAAAUUACAAUCUAUUAAAGCAAAAAAGAGUGAAUUAAAGUAAAUAAGCAUACCAUUUACUAAACAGAUCAAAAGAAUAAAUAAAAG